rnacentral:lncRNA from 1 species
ACAAACAAAUGGGAAAACAAAUGGUUUUGGGUUCAGAGCCAAUGUCAAUAUUCUUUUCAGUGUGUUUGUUCAUUUUACUUCUUUUCUUUUUCAAUUGCUCAAUAUUUUUCUUUGAUAUUCUCUUCUAUUUUUUUCAACUGAGUGCUCUUCCUUCGGUGAGUGUUUCUUUCGAACCAUCGACUACAUUUUUUUUUCUCGAUGGUCAUUUUUCUUCUUCUUAUUUUUUUCGCACUCACAUUGGUUUUCGAUACUUAUGGGGUUUACCCCAAACUUAGAAUUUUAACACAGCUUAAUAACAUCACAUUGACUCCGAACAACGUAAGGAAGUGUUUGGGCCGCAAGUUACAUUUAUGUGGUUAUAAAAACAAAGGGUACAGGCUCAAAUGGGGUUAACAAAG